rnacentral:lncRNA from 1 species
CCGUCGUCAAUGCGCGUUUGGAUUUGGUGUCGUUGGUCGUCCUCCCGCGCGAUCGCUCCCCGACAGCCGACCGACCCUCGCCCCUCCUCCCGCCGCGACGCGUCUUCUCGACCACCCCAGGGCGCGUUCAUACGCCGAGUGCUGUCCAAGGAUGAGUUCAACGACGUCAGGCACUUCGAAACGUGCUUCCUGCACGCCGUCGGCGGAGACGCGUUCGAGGACAAGAUGGGCGGAAACGCGCACGUCGUCGCCGUCGUGACCGGGCACAACCUCCACGUCCUGAACGUGAACGCGCACGCGAAGAAGCUGUGCACCAUACCGCUGCAGCACGUGCGAGCGAUCGAGGACGCGGGGUCGUACCGCAGAUUCACCGGGUUCAUCAAGAGCCACGACAGCGCGAACAGGCACGGCAGGCGCUAUGUGCUGACGCGCGCGGCGUGGAGCGACGAGGUGCGCGCCGCCGCCGCCGCCGCCGACGACGACGACGGAGAACGCGG